AAAUUUAAUUUUAACCGACGACAACCACGGCAAAGACCACGACCACGACAUUGACGUUCCUGAGCAUAGGCAUGCCUACGACACUCACCUUUUAUUUGUUUAUUGUUUCACUUAUGCUCAAAAUUUCCCAUAUCUGGGUAACAUAGAUUUUGUAGUUAACAAAAUUACCUCCCUUUUAUACACCAACUAUAUUAAUAUAAUCGUAUAUCCAUACUGUAGCUCAAAUGUCCU